CACAGAUGCUUCACUGGCUCCCAUGACAGUCUGAACGAUCUUGUCUGAUUGGGCAAUCAAACUUCCUAGUCCAUCGUAAGACUCAUUGCCAUGACGACCGAUGCCUGAAACAGCGAAUUGGCUGUCUUUGCCCACAGUGAAACCUUACUCAACUCCAGGAUUAGAUUGGAGCGUAACUUGGAAGGAAAAAGACAUGAGUAAGAUGGACAAGUGGAUCAAGAGUUUUUAUAUGAUAGCCUGGUUGGCAGCAGACAUGCCUGUGGUUCGGACAGGACGGUCAGGACAGCGGAUAUCAGCUGGGUGGCA